GACGAACGCUGGCGGCGUGCUUAAUACAUGCAAGUCAACUGAACUUAAGGUAGCAAUAUUUUAAGGGAGGUGGCGCACGGGUGAGUAACACGUAGGUAAUCUGCCUUUAGGUCUGACACAACCUACCGAAAGGUAGGCUAAUAUCAGAUGAUGCAGCGGCUCGACAUCGAGACAGUUGUUAAACCUUCGGGGCCUAAAGAUGAGCCUGCGUCUGAUUAGGUAGUUGGCGGAGUAAUAGCCACCAAGCCUGCGAUCAGUAGCUGGUCUGAGAGGAUGAUCAGCCACACUGGAACUGAGACACGGUCCAGACUCCUACGGGAGGCAGCAGUAAGGAAUAUGCUCAAUGGCCGAAAGGCUGAAGCAGC
rnacentral:rRNA from 1 species